AGAGUUUGAUCAUGGCUCAGGAUGAACGUUGGCGGCGUGCCUAAUACAUGCAAGUCGAACGGAGAUUGUAGCAAUACGGUCUCAGUGGCGAACGGGUGAGUAACGCGUUGGUGACCUGCCCCGAAGUGUGGAAUAACAGAUCGAAAGAGCUGCUAAUACCGCAUAAUAUCCAGAGGACUAGAUGCCUUUGGAUUAAAGGAUUUAUUCGCUUCGGGAGGGGCCUGCGUCCCAUCAGCUAGUUGGUAAGGUAAAGGCUUACCAAGGCUAUGACGGGUAGGGGACCUGAGAGGGUGGCCCCCCACAAUGGAACUGAAACACGGUCCAUACACCUACGGGUGGCAGCAGUAGGGAAUAUUAGUAAUGGGCGAAAGCCUGAACUAGCAACGCCGCGUGUGCGAAGAAGGCCUUCGGGUUGUAAAGCACUUUUUGAGAGGAUGAGGAAGGACGGUACUCUCAGAAUAAGUCUCGGCUAACUACGUGCCAGCAGCCGCGGUAACACGUAGGAGGCGAACGUUAUCCGGAUUUACUGGGCGUAAAGCGCGUGUAGGUGGUUUGGUAAGUAGGGCGUGAAAGCUCCUGGCUCAACUGGGAGAGGCCGUUCUAAACUGCCGAACUAGAGGAUGGUAGAGGGAGGUGGAAUUCCGGGUGUAGCGGUGGAAUGCGCAGAUAUCCGGAGGAACACCAGUGGCGAAAGCGGCCUCCUGGACCACUCCUGACACUCAGACGCGAAAGCUAGGGUAGCAAACGGGAUUAGAGACCCCGGUAGUCCUAGCCCUAAACGAUGUAGACUUGGCGUCGGUGGUUUAAACGCCAUCGGUGUCGAAGCUAACGCGAUAAGUCUACCGCCUGGGGACUACGGCCGCAAGGUUAAAACUCAAAUGAAUUGACGG
rnacentral:rRNA from 2 species